GACGAACGCUGGCGGCGUGCUUAACACAUGCAAGUCGAACGGUAAGGCCCUUCGGGGUACACGAGUGGCGAACGGGUGAGUAACACGUGGGUGAUCUGCCCUGCACUUCGGGAUAAGCCUGGGAAACUGGGUCUAAUACCGGAUAGGACUCCUGGCUUCAUGGUUGGGGGUGGAAAGCUUUUGCGGUGUGGGAUGGGCCCGCGGCCUAUCAGCUUGUUGGUGGGGUAAUGGCCUACCAAGGCGACGACAGGUAGCCGGCCUGAGAGGGUGACCGGUCACACUGGGACUGAGAUACGGCCCAGACUCCGACGGGAGGCAGCAGUGGGGAAUAUUGCACAAUGGGCGGAAGCCUGAUGCAGCGACGCCGCGUGAGGGAUGACGGCCUUCGGGUUGUAAACCUCUUUCAGCUAUGACGAAGCGCAAGUGACGGUAGUAGCAGAAGAAGGACCGGCCAACUACGUGCCAGCCGCCGCCGUAA
rnacentral:rRNA from 1 species